CAUGCUAAGAUGUACACAAACCACAAAAAUACCAAGAGUGCUUCUUGGAUGAAUAUGUGUUUGAAGGUUUUUAGUUGAGAGGUAUUGAGUAAAAUCUCUACUUGUAAAUCUAUAAUUUCUAUAGUGGAAUAUUUUUUCUCUUUCUCCUGUUGACGUAGGCAUCAAAAAGCUGAACCAUGUAAUUUUGUGGCUAGGUUACUGAGAAAAGCAAGGGCAUGCACACAUAAGCACUGAAAAAGUGGGAGCAAGCUUGUUCGCACAUAAGCACCGAGAUCACCCUUACAUAACCACUACUUGCACUUUCAAAAUAUACUUUUAUCCGUGUUUCUUUUAUUAGUUCUCA